rnacentral:rRNA from 1 species
GAGUUUGAUCAUGGCUCAGGAUGAACGCCGGCGGUGUGCCUAAUACAUGCAAGUCGUACGCACUGGCCCAACUGAUUGAUGGUGCUUGCACCUGAUUGAUGAUGGAUCACCAGUGAGUGGCGAACGGGUGAGUAACACGUAGGUAACCUGCCCCGGAGCGGGGGAUAACAUUUGGAAACAGAUGCUAAUACCGCAUAAACAACAAAAGCCACAUUAGUCUUUUUGUUUAGAAAGAUGGCUUUGGCUAUCACUCUGGGAUGGACCUGC